UACGGAGGGAGCUAGCGUUGUUCGGAAUUACUGGGCGUAAAGCGCGCGUAGGCGGCUUUGUAAGUUAGAGGUGAAAGCCCGGAGCUCAACUCCGGAACUGCCUUUAAAACUGCAUCGCUUGAAUCCAGGAGAGGUGAGUGGAAUUCCGAGUGUAGAGGUGAAAUUCGUAGAUAUUCGCAAGAACACCAGUGGCGAAGGCGGCUCACUGGCCCGGUACUGACGCUGAGGUGCGAAAGCGUGGGGAGCAAACAGGG
rnacentral:rRNA from 1 species